CGCUUAAUUUGGUUAAAAAUGCAACUUUUACUAAUAUAUCUAACUAGCAAUAAAGUCUAUUGUCAUGACUACGAAUCAGAAGGUUAGGGGUUCGACUCCCUUCGCGACCA
rnacentral:tRNA from 1 species